GCUUUACACACAUUUUGCAAUUGAAAAUGUCACUUUGUAAAUGCACUGAACACGGUUCUCUGCAUGAGACACAACAAUCUGACAUAAAGUCACAUGCUUGCCAUUUCAAAACACUGCCAUUCAAAAUGACACUACAUGAGAUAACUGGUCAAUAUAUGUGCCACCUGGCCGAACACCUCAAUGGUUAAUGGUUACCACUUCUAUCAGGAAGUAAGCAGAUGAAAAGACCACAGUGGAUUUAAAGCUCCUCAGCCAUGUGCUGUCCUGGGUGGCUACAGACACCGACUGACAGGGGUGGAGUACCAUCACGCUGCCAUCCAGACCCUGCCCAAGAGGAAAACUGACAGAGGAGUGGUCGUCUUCAGCCGGGAUACACAGACAGUGGAGCUGAAGUCUCAGGCAGAGCAGUGUCCACUCAGUGUCUCAACCCAGAUGAGAGGGAUCGGCUGCUACGUCUCCUGUAUCAACGACAAGCUGGUCGCCCCUGGCAACUACAUCACUGCUGCUGAGUACCACGAUAAGAGGCUGAGAGCUGCACCAAGGUGGUUGGCCCGGCAGGCGGUGGACCAGCUGAGGAAAGAGCGGGACCGGCGGCUGGCCUGGCUGGAGGUGCAGAAGAGUAGGGGGACACAGGAGAAGGAGGAGCAGCUGAGAGACCGCCAACGACGCUGGAUGAACCCGUAGAGGAAGGAAGACUUAAAUCUGAUGUACCACGCCCUGGAGAAGGGGAGGUGUGAGGAGGAGCAGCAGAUCAAUUCAUCCAUGCGAGGGGCUGAGAGGAAGGCAGCUCUCUGCUUGCUGCUGGACCAGGAGACUCAGUUCAUCGCAGCCAUCGGACGCCAUCGCAUCGCCUAUUCCUCCUGUCCUGACUUUUUCCAGCAAAACAAAGAGGUUUUUAUGUCCAUUGAGAUAUGCACUCAAAUUGUAGUUUCACUUUUUGAGUCUCAUCCAAAUAGUAAAAUAUGAAAUAUCUAGGUAAUUAAAUCGGGGGGCUGUGGCUCAGGGGGUAGAGCCGGUUGGCCACUGACCUCUGGGUCAAAUAUGCAAAUUAUGAUCCAAUCUACUUUUCUAUAUACAUUAAUACUUUUUACGACAUAACAUUUCAGAAAAUAGCAGUGGGUGUAGUUGAAGAAAUAGAAGAGGUUAAGGAGUGAGAGAAGCUGUAGUAGCAGAAGCUGUAGUAGUAAGAAGAUGUAUUAAUACAAGUAUCAGAAGUAGUUGUUGCUUAAUAAUGCUACCACUAGUUAACUUAUAAGAAAAGUAGUCAUAGAACUAUUUGUAUCAAUUGUUUAAGGAAAAAUGUAGUAAAAAUUAAACCUCAACCAGCUCACUGUAGCAGCGGGGGCUGGGACUCAUCAUAAGUGAUGUUUUCAAUCGUGACAACAGAUUCUCCAGGUCGUGACCCUCAUACUGAGUCUUUCUGAGUCCAUCAGAGCCAGAGAGCUGCAAGAUCUGUACAACAAUGUCAACCAGCCUGCUGUGAGCCAGGAGCAGCGUCCUGAUGACACUCAAACACACCGUCAAGGUACCACACACUCACUGCUGUUGAAAAAGAGAAAGUUCAUUAAACAAAAAGUUAGCAGGACUUAUUCAUUUCACACUCAGAUAUUGUAAUUUUCCCCCCCAGGUCAAUUUUUGUCUUUAAUUUUGUACAUGUGAUUAUAUUCUUGUUCUUGUCCACUUAAUGUGCAUUAUUUCACUUCCAAAAUGUGCGUAUGCUUACUCUUCAUGUACAUAAAGGUAGACUAUUGUAGGAUCCGACCACGUAAGCCUUUUGAGGUUAUUGUGUAUAAAACAGUAAGUCUGAGCAGAUCCUGUAUCAUCUGCUUAUUUUCACUCUGUUAGUCAUUCGGAUCAGUUAUUUGAUGUAUUCAUGGAUGUCACUUCUUGGUCUUCCAUACAAGCAAAUUGCAUGGCUCCCACCGUCGGUGUUUCACACACAAUACCUCAGAAACCAUAGUAUUAUGACAGUAUUUAAAUCUUGCCAUCUUGUUGUUAAAUCAAUCGUUUUAAGAGACUUGUCUGAUAAAGGCUCUCGUAUUUUUACCAGGACCACCCAAAUAUGUUCCACAAUUUAAACAAGUAGAAAAACUAAAAAAUAUGAAUCUUUUAUAUUUUCAAUUUGUAUUUUAGUAUCACUGGUUAUGGAUUAUAUUUGUGUGAUUAAUGUUUUUGUUUUACUAAUACCUGUAGUGUCAAGAUGCAUCAUUUCUCCAAGUGUUUUUCAAGGUUUAUUGGUUUUAUCACAUUGAAUGAACAUUAAAUUGAUAACUGUCAUGUUCUGUUAGCUGACAAAUCUUCAACUGUAAUGGACAACUUUGUUUCUAUCGACAAAAAACAGUAUUUUCAAUUGGUGUUGCCUUUAAUACAUAGUGUUGGGUUACUCAAUUGAUCUUGUUUUUUUUGUAAGUCUCCUCUUUUCUAUAGAAUGUUUUGGUUGCUGCACUUUAGUUACCUUAAACAUUCAGUAGACGUUGUACAGAAUAUCAACUUAAAAUGGUGAACCGAGGUUUCGGUAAAGAGGAGUUUAACUUACAGGAUUCGACUGUCAUCCAUGCUGCUGUUACAUUAAAUUACAUUGUUCUGUAUUUGAGAUUAUGUUGAAUUUCCAUUAAAACAAUAUU